AGUGAAAAAACUAUGUUUCUCUAUCAUCUUGUUUGCCACACAAUGGCAUCCAAUCUUUGGGGUUAUGUCGUGAACCUUGAUCCUGCUGUCUUGACCCUGCCAUUUGGUGAAUCGAUAUUAGAGACAUUGUUCGAUACAAAGAAGUCAUGAAGCAACUAAAUCUUGGGCCAAAUGGAGGAAUUCUUACUUCACUGAACUUAUUUACCACAAAGUUUGAUGAGAUGAGAGACUUAGGUGAUGCAAGGAUCAUCACUAGAAUAACUGGUACUGUUAGCUGAGAAAGAAGCUUGGUCAUAUGCAAAGCAAAGGAGAAAAUAUAUGGUAACUGUGCUCCCAAUACUUGUUAUAGGGUCGAUGUUGCAGAAGACAACAAAUGCAAGUAAUUUGGUUCUCAUUAAGCUGCUGAAAGAUAGCUUUUACUUUUGUUGUUUAUCCAUCAUUAAUUCUUGCUUAUAUGGGAC